UAUUAACUUAAUUAGGCUCGUGGAAAGCCUAUGAACGCAUACUCGACUAUACAAUACGCGAAUGAUAAUCUGCGGAGAAAAUGUGUAACGAUAAACGAUAAGGAACUGACACCGUACAAAAUACUGACAACGCCGACAAAUAUUAAAUCUUUACGAUAUAUUUUAGUUUCGUAAUUAAAUUUUUAUAUCCAUAGACGAAAUCGGAUCGAAAAACGAAUUUAAAACGACAAACGACGCGAUUUUACGCGAUUAUUAUCGUAAACAACAAACAAACGCGCCAAAUGCGACUACUAACUCUAUUUUUCAUAAUUUGAUCCUAAAAAUUUAUUCUUCGACGUUACGGAUAGUUCAGGUUUCGAAAGCGGGUUCGUAUGUGCAGACGGGCCCUUAAAAUGUGGGAUUGGGCUUGUGGGCGUUGGGCCCAAGCCCAAGCCCAUUAGAGAAAAAUCUAGUAUAUAGUCAACCUAACCCUAAAACUUCCCCAUUUGUGUUAUCAGUCGCACAUGACAAAGAUUUUACAUCCCAACCUUAUCUUCACUUUCUCCAAACAAAAAAAAUUCUCUUUAAGCGAACCAGGCCUCUCAUCUCUCUCUCUCGGCUGGAUUCGGCUAGACACCGACAACAUCGACACACUCACAUCGAACCUCAUCCCUCUCGAUCCUUUCCUGCACACCAACCCCCACCAGUUUCUCCUCCGGUGAAACCACCAGUGUUGGUUCUGUUUCGGCGGCUCUCCUUUCCGACAACACACACCAGCCGACAGCCCCCCCCCCCCUCUCCUAGUGGCAGCGGAGAACAACACACUGCCGCCAUGGCGGCGACAGCGGUAAGACAGAGACGGAGAGAGAGAGAGCUGUGGAGAUAGGUGACGAAGAGAGAGACCGAAGAAAGAGUGUGACGGCGAAAGCACCGUUUCCGGCGACGAUCUGCCGACGACAGCGCCGCCGUGGUGGCGGCGGUAGUGCCCUGGUUCGACAAAAAUUCACGAUUAUAAUUUGGUGGCUGAGAUUGAUAAGGGUUUGCGGUUUUAAUUCCAGUUUGGCUCAGAUCUGCGGCUCGGGAUCCUCGGUUCGGCUCAACGGUUAACCGGUCAAGUCGUGGGUCUCGGUUCAGUUCAGAUGUCGGCUCUGAUCACGUAGGUUCUGGUUCAGAUUUUGAGUCACGGUCAACAGUCGGUCAACAAGGUCAAAGCUCGGUCAACCGGAGUCAACUCGGUCAAACCGAGUCAACUCAGUCAAUGACAGUCAAUGAUGGUCAAACUCAGUCAAACGAAGACCCGGUAAAGUUUUAACGACGUGAAAAUUAGUAUAGAUUUCUAUAGUUUUUAGAAUUUUAGCUAGUUUACGCGACCGAGCUCGACCCGAAUCGAUUACAUAUUAGUUUACCUUCGAUACAAUUAACGAAAAUUAUUUAUA